AAACUUAAGAGUUUGAUCCUGGCUCAGAUUGAACGCUGGCGGCAUGCUUUACACAUGCAAGUCGAACGGCAGCACGAGUGCUUGCACUUGGUGGCGAGUGGCGGACGGGUGAGUAAUACAUCGGAACGUAUCCUAAAGUGGGGGAUAACGCAUCGAAAGAUGUGCUAAUACCGCAUAUACUCUGAGGAGGAAAGUAGGGGAUCGAAAGACCUUAUGCUUUUGGAGCGGCCGAUGUCUGAUUAGCUAGUUGGUAAGGUAAUGGCUUACCAAGGCAACGAUCAGUAGUUGGUCUGAGAGGACGACCA
rnacentral:rRNA from 1 species